AUUGAACGCUGGCGGAAUGCUUUACGCAUGCAAGUCGAACGGAUUUAAGGGGCUUGCUCUUUAAGUUAGUGGCGAACGGGUGAGUAAUAUAUCGGAACGUACCGUGUAAUGGGGGAUAACGUAGCGAAAGUUACGCUAAUACCGCAUACGCUCUUCGGAGGAAAGCAGGGGAUCUUCGGACCUUGCGUUAUACGAGCGGCCGAUAUCUGAUUAGCUAGUUGGUGAGGUAAAGGCUCACCAAGGCGACGAUCAGUAGCGGGUCUGAGAGGAUGAUCCGCCACACUGGGACUGAGACACGGCCCAGACUCCUACGGGAGGCAGCAGUGGGAAUUUUGGACAAUGGGCGAAAGCCUGAUCCAGCCAUUCCGCGUGAGUGAAGAAGGCC
rnacentral:rRNA from 1 species